rnacentral:rRNA from 1 species
AAUCAACGCUGGCGGCGUGCCCAACACGUGCAAGUCGCACGAGAAAGGGUCUUCGGAUCUGAGUAAAGUGGCGCACGGGUGAGUAACACGUGAAUUAUCUACCUUCGAGUGGGGAAUAACUUCGGGAAACCGAGGCUAAUACCGCAUAAUAUCUGCGGAUCAAAGCAGUAAUGCGCUUGAAGAGGAGUUCGCGGCAGAUUAGUUAGUUGGCGGGGUAAUGGCCCACCAAGACGAUGAUCUGUAUCCGGCCUGAGAGGGCGCACGGACACACUGGAACUGAAACACGGUCCAGACUCCUACGGGAGGCAGCAGUGGGGAAUUUUGCGCAAUGGGGGAAACCCUGACGCAGCAACGCCGCGUGGAGGAUGAAGUCUCUUGGGACGUAAACUCCUUUCGAUAGGGAAGAUUAUGACGGUACCUAUAGAAGAAGCCCCGGCUAACUUCGUGCCAGCCGCCGCAGUAA